UGGGGAAUACUGCACAAUGGGCGCAAGCCUGAUGCAGCCAUGCCGCGUGUAUGAAGAAGGCCUUCGGGUUGUAAAGUACUUUCAGCGGGGAGGAAGGGAGUAAAGUUAAUACCUUUGCUCAUUGACGUUACCCGCAGAAGAAGCACCGGCUAACUCCGUGCCAGCAGCCGCGGUAAUACGGAGGGUGCAAGCGUUAAUCGGAAUUACUGGGCGUAAAGCGCACGCAGGCGGUUUGUUAAGUCAGAUGUGAAAUCCCCGGGCUCAACCUGGGAACUGCAUCUGAUACUGGCAAGCUUGAGUCUCGUAGAGGGGGGUAGAAUUCCAGGUGUAGCGAUGAAAUGCGUAGAGAUCUGGAGGAAUACCGGUGGCGAAGGCGGCCCCCUGGACGAAGACUGACGCUCAGGUGCGAAAGCGUGGGGAGCAAACAGG
rnacentral:rRNA from 1 species